UACGUAGGGUGCAAGCGUUGUCCGGAAUUAUUGGGCGUAAAGAGCUCGUAGGCGGUUUGUCGCGUCUGCUGUGAAAACCCGAGGCUCAACCUCGGGCCUGCAGUGGGUACGGGCAGACUAGAGUGCGGUAGGGGAGAUUGGAAUUCCUGGUGUAGCGGCGAAAUGCGCAGAUAUCGGGAGGAACACCAGUAGCGAAGGCGGCACUCUGGGCCGGUACUGACGCUGAGGAGCGAAAGCGUGGGGAGCGAACAGG
rnacentral:rRNA from 1 species